rnacentral:rRNA from 1 species
GACGAGGGAUCCUAGCGUUGUUCGGAAUUAUUGGGCGUAAAGCGGGUGUAGGUGGCUUUGUAAGUCAGGUGUGAAAGCCCAGGGCUCAACCCUGGAAGUGCAUUUGAUACUGCGAAGCUUGAAUGUGGGAGAGGUGAGUAGAAUUCCAGGUGUAGUGGUGAAAUACGUAGAUAUCUGGAGGAAUACCGGAGGCGAAGGCGGCUCACUGGCCCAACAUUGACACUCAGACCCGAAAGCGUGGGGAUCAAAC